CAAUUACCGAUUUGAUUCUAUUAUUACACACUUUUUAAACAAAUUACUUCCCUUUGUCAAUCGUAGACUGGUUCCAUACCGGACAAAAUUGGUUUUUGCCAAUGCAAAGCAUGAUGAAUCGAAAGUGAUGUAUCGGCGGUUAAACUAGUUUUUCAUGAAAAAUAAUUUCUGAUGUCAAAAGUAUUUAGUUAAACAACAAAUU
rnacentral:lncRNA from 1 species